UAGGGAAUAUUGGUCAAUGGACGCAAGUCUGAACCAGCCACGCCGCGUGGAGGAAGAAGGUUCUCUGGAUCGUAAACUCCUUUUAUAUGGGAAUAAAUAUGGGCUAUACGCCUAAGUUGAAUGUACCAUAGGAAUAAGCCACGGCUAACUACGUGCCAGCAGCCGCGGUAAUACGUAGGUGGCGAGCGUUGUCCGGAUUUAUUGGGUUUAAAGGGUGCGUAGGCGGUUUGAUCAGUCAGUCGUUAAAGGCAGCAGCUUAACUGUUGUAAGGCGAUUGAUACUGUCGAACUUGAAUUCGUUUGAGGUACUUGGAAUGCGUAGUGUAGCGGUGAAAUGCAUAGAUAUUACGCGGAACGCCAAUUGCGGAGGCAGAGUACUAGGACGAGAUUGACGCUGAGGC
rnacentral:rRNA from 1 species